UACGGAGGAUCCGAGCGUUAUCCGGAUUUAUUGGGUUUAAAGGGAGCGUAGGUGGAUUGUUAAGUCAGUUGUGAAAGUUUGCGGCUCAACCGUAAAAUUGCAGUUGAAACUGGCAGUCUUGAGUACAGUAGAGGUGGGCGGAAUUCCUAGUGUAGCGGUGAAAUGCGUAGAUAUUAGGAGGAACACCAGUGGCGAAGGCGGCUUACUGGACUGUAACUGACGUUGAGGCUCGAAAGCGUGGGGAGCAAACAGG
rnacentral:rRNA from 1 species